ACUCCUACGGGAGGCAGCAGUGGGAAUAUUGGACAAUGGGGCACCCGUAGCAUCCAGCGAUGCCGCGUGUGUGAAGAAGGCCUGAGGGUUGUAAAGCACUUUUAGUGGGAGGAAAGUUACAGGUUAAGAGCUAGUUAAGUUGACGUUACCCACCAUAAACAGCACCGGCUAACUCCGUGCCAGCAGCCGCGGUAAUACGGGGUGGCAG
rnacentral:rRNA from 1 species